CGCUGCUGCGGCACCUGGCCUCGCUGGCCCCCGUCAACACGCGCCGCUACCGGCCGGCCAGCGACCAGUCCAGCCGCGCCGAAUCAGAAGAACCGACCGGCUCCGAAGCCGACGCGCCGCCGCCCUUCGUCAACUCCGACGUGGUGCUCAAGGAGUCGCUCAAGGAAGAGAAGCCUCUCACUCAGGCGCUCAAGUACGCACGGUCCUAGCGCCCGCCUGAGUCUACUGGCUGUCACUAGACCAACAACUUACGUAAGCAUCUAGAGCAGGGUUGGCGAACCAAUGGCACACGUGCCAAUGAUGGCACGCGACAUAAUAUUUUGGGCACGCCACCAAUCACAAAUUCAGUAAUUCAAUAGUAAAUAAUGUGUUUUGAUUAUGAGCUAUCGUAUUUGCCCUCAUCAGUUAGUGCCACUGUAGAGUAAGGUUGUGUCACUCACCAGUGGUGCUACUUGAUGGCAUUAGGUGUUAAUUUAAUGGCACGUGUCUAUGAUUACUUCAAACAUUUUUUUAGAAUAGUGGCACGUUGAUACUUAAAGGUUCGCCAUCCUUGAUCUAGAGAGUAUUAUAGUCCGAUUUCGUGUGACCAUUCACGAAGAAGUAUCAAGGCAAUUAGGCCCCAACCUGAACCAUCCACUGUCACUAAUCCGACUUCGCAUGACUAUUAUCAAGCCAGUCAUGAGUAUCCACCGGCUGUGAUUAGUCCAGCCUCGCGUGAGCAUUCACUGAACCAUCUACGUCAGCAUCUACUGUCCGAUUAGUCCGACUUCGCGAGACCAUUUACCAAGUCAAUAUCAAGCCAGUCUUGAGCCUCAUCCAUUCCAGUUUCGCGUGAAAUAUGAGAAACUGAUUUUUUUGUUAGUCCCAUUUUUAUGUGCUCCGCAAUUUUCGUAUUUGCGGAAAUAACUAUUGCAUUCUCUCAUGUCAGUUUCUCUGGACUAGUGAUCGAGUGUCAGUCAUGUGUGAUCGAUCAUUUUAUUCACUAAAAAUCAUACCUCAACACUAACCACAUUAUUCCAAGCUGAUUUUCAAGCAUUUUUGUUCCUUCUUUCCAAAGAUAUGGAGGACAUAGUUCAAAUUGUUUCCUAUUUGAAACGGAUAUACCGUACCUACUUAACAUGCUUACAAAUCACAGCCUAAAUUAAAAGUACCCAUGUGCUUAACAAGUUACAACCAAAAUUCAAAUUGGAUUUCGUGAUAAAAUAACAGCUAUCUUACUUUUAAUUAUUAAUGUGACAGCCCCAAUGAUCUGGUUAUUCUGUUAUAAGAGGCUAUGGGUGAAGACUUAUGAACAAAGUCAAGUUAAUGAGGAAUUCACUUCUAGGUGUUUCAUAAAAUGCCGAAAGUAUAUUGUCACGUCGAACUGAUCAUCGCAUAACUCUGGUAUCAUAUUAAAUAAGUAAUAACCCAAGCCACCAUCAGCUUCUGACAUGGAUUGAUCAGUUCAACAUAACAAUUUUAUUUAUGAUUCUUUGAAACCCGUGGUUACGGUUUGUAAAAUUACUUAAAACCGAAUUGUAGCACACUUAAAAAUUUAAGGAGUUCUUAAAAAAUCAAAUUCGUAUCGCUAGGUAAAUAACAAGUGUUCUAUUUUGAGAUCUUCUAGAUGAUAGGGUAUUUUUCGAAACUUAUCUCUAUUUGUGUAUGUCUGGAAGCCGUGACGAUCUUUUUGACGUUACAAAUUGUAAUGGCAAGUAAGACGAACCUCAAGUUAUUUCAAUCUUGACUUUUCAAGCUUUUAAAUGCUUUUAGCGAACUGGCAGAGUGCCUUAUUUUCCCUUUUUGGCUUUGAUGAUCCUGAAAUUGAUUUAAACUUGAUCGUAACGUUUUCCACAUCGCCCGGUUGGUAGCGGCCUGCAUCCAGCGCUUUCCUGCUACCUUUAUGAGGUCGUCGGUCCACCUUGUGGGUGGACGUCUCACGCUGUGUUUUCCGGUGCGUGGUCUCCACUCACGCUCACUACCCUACCAACCAGGCUGAAAUGAUGAUGAUCGUAUGUGGAUCGAUAGCCUGUAAUCGGUUAAGUUUCAAUUAAACAUUGAGACAUGUGUAGGUCAAUACUUGCCCGUGGAUACAGAAUACGGACCUGUCUUUUUAACAGAUUAUGCUGUUAUGUACUUUAUACAGGGUGUUGAUUUCAAUCCUCGCCAUAUUUAUGGAGUUAAUUAAGUAGCUUAUUCUGAUCACGAAUCAGCAGAAAAAUUGACAUCAAAAAAAAUUUAAAACGAACUUUAACUUUAGUAAGUCAAAGAAAAAUACCUGGCUACCUUCAGUAGGCUAUCCGACGUGAUAAGCGAGCAAUCCGCGUAGCUCAAUGAUGCAGCAGUGUAAACGUAUUGCAGUAUUGCGAGCCACCAGUACAGUUGAUGUCGCACGGAAAAUAUUCGCUAAAAAUUGCACUAUCGUUUGUAUUUUUUUUGUGGAUAAUGCGUUUAUAUAAGUCUUAAUAGAUCACCUAAAUAAAUACGGCGAGGAUUUAAAUCAACACUCUGUAUAGCUUCCAGACUACAUUAACUCUUGCGCCGCGAUACAUUAGCUAAGUAGUAAACAAAUAUCAAAACAAAUGUAGCUAGGAAUAAAUAUAUCGCGGGCGUUUUCAGUAUCUGCGUUUGGUUUUAGCCCUUGUACCUAAUUAGAAGGCUAUUUAUAUUUUAGGGUUCCGUAGUCCUGACAAGGAACCCUUAUUUAAGUUUGAUCGAGAUUUUUCUUCCAAAUAAACAAUGCAGAUACUGCAAACGCAUUUUUUAUAAUUAAUUGAUUAUUGUCUGUGUGCGUAGAUUUUAUAGAAAAAUCAUUUACAGAGUACAAAUAGGCUGCCUUUAAUAUUAAUUUAUACGAAACCAGUUUCAGUCCGUUAAAGUAUGAAUAAUUCAAUGUUUUGAAACGAAAAAAUAGUCGUCGAUUACUGACUGCCUUUUAAAUAAAAGAAAAGUGUCUUAUAUGGAACGAGUACCUACAAAAUCUGUAAAUGGCAGCCCUUCGCCGCGGAAAAAUUAUAUAAUUUUAAACUACCUCGCGGUGUUUU